rnacentral:rRNA from 1 species
UACGGGGGGGGGCAAGCGUUGUUCGGAAUUACUGGGCGUAAAGGGCUCGUAGGCGGCCAACUAAGUCGGAUGUGAAAUCCCCAGGCUUAACCUGGGAACUGCAUCCGAUACUGGAUGGCUUGAAUCCGGGAGAGGGAUGCAGAAUUCCAGGUGUAGCGGUGAAAUGCGUAGAUAUCUGGAGGAACACCGGUGGCGAAGGCGGCAUCCUGGACCAAUACUGACGCUGAGGAGCGAAAGCCAGGGGAGCAAACGGG